UACAGAGGUCCCGAGCGUUGUUCGGAUUCACUGGGCGUAAAGCGCACGCAGGUGGCUGAGAAAGUCGAUUGUGAAAGCCCUGGGCUUAACCUGGGAAUUGCAGUCGAAACUACUGGCUAGAGUAUGGGAGAGGACAGUGGAAUUCCCGGUGUAGCGGUGAAAUGCGUAGAUAUCGGGAGGAACAUCAGUGGCGAAGGCGGCUGUCUGGCCCAAUACUGACACUCAGGUGCGACAACGUGGGGGAGCAAACA
rnacentral:rRNA from 1 species